rnacentral:rRNA from 1 species
GGUCACCGCUAUUGGAAUCCGCUUAAGCCAUGCGAGUCGAGAGGGUUCGGCCCUCGGCACACUGCUCAGUAACACGUGGACAAUCUGCCCUCGGGUGGGGGAUAACCUCGAGAAAUUGAGAAUAAUACCCCAUAGGUCCCAUAUGCUGGAACGCUUUGGGAUCGAAAGCUGCGGCGCCCGAGGAUGAGUCUGCGGCUCAUCAGGUUGUAGUGAGUGUAACGGACUCACUAGCCGACAACGAGUACGGGCCUUGGAAGAGGUCGCCCGGAGAUGGACUCUGAGACACGAGUCCAGGCCCUACGGGGCGCAGCAGGCGCGAAAACUUCGCAAUGUGGGAAACCACGACGAGGGGAUUCCACGUGCUUAUGGUUUUCCAUGGGCUGUUUUCCUGCCUAAAUAGCAGGGAGAGUAGGGCUGGGUAAGACGGGUGCCAGCCGCCGCGGUAAUACCCGCAGCUCGAGUGGUGAUCGUUCUAUUGGGCCUAAAGCGUCCGUAGCCGGCUCAGUAAAUCCUUGGGUAAAUCGGGCAGCUUAACUGUCCGACUUCCGGGGAGACUGCUGAACUUGGGACUGGGAGAGGUCGGAGGUACUCCGGGGGUAGAGGUGAAAUUCUGUAAUCCCCGGGGGACCACCAGUGGCGAAGGCGUCCGACUUGAACGGGUCCGACGGUGAGGGACGAAGCCCUGGGGCACAAACCGGAUUAGAUACCCGGGUAGUCCAGGGUGUAAACGCUGCGGGCUUGGUGUUGGGGGUCCUACGUGGGCGCUCAGUGCCGGAGAGAAGUUGUUAAGCCCGCCGCCUGGGAAGUACGGUCGCAAGGCUAAAACUUAAAGGAAUUGGCGGGGGAGCACCACAAGGGGUGAAGCCUGCGGUUCA